rnacentral:rRNA from 1 species
AUUGAACGCUGGCGGCAUGCCUUACACAUGCAAGUCGAACGGCAGCACGGGUGCUUGCACCUGGUGGCGAGUGGCGAACGGGUGAGUAAUACAUCGGAACAUGUCCUGUAGUGGGGGAUAGCCCGGCGAAAGCCGGAUUAAUACCGCAUACGAUCUACGGAUGAAAGCGGGGGACCUUCGGGCCUCGCGCUAUAGGGUUGGGCGAUGGCUGAUUAGCUAGUUGGUGGGGUAAAGGCCUACCAAGGCGACGAUCAGUAGCUGGUCUGAGAGGACGACCAGCCACACUGGGACUGAGACACGGCCCAGACUCCUACGGGAGGCAGCAGUGGGGAAUUUUGGACAAUGGGCGAAAGCCUGAUCCAGCAAUGCCGCGUGUGUGAAGAAGGCCUUCGGGUUGUAAAGCACUUUUGUCCGGAAAGAAAUCCUUGGCCCUAAUACGGUCGGGGGAUGACGGUACCGGAAGAAUAAGCACCGGCUAACUACGUG